rnacentral:misc_RNA from 1 species
GAUGAAGAACGCAGCAAAAUGCGAUAAGUAAUGUGAAUUGCAGAAUUCAGUGAAUCAUCGAAUCUUUGAACGCACAUUGCGCCCACCAGUAUUCUGGCGGGCAUGCCUGUUCGAGCGUCAUUACAACCCUCAGGCCCCCGGGCCUGGCGUUGGGGAUCGGCGGAAGCCCCCUGCGGGCACAACGCCGUCCCCCAAAUACAGUGGCGGUCCCGCCGCAGCUUCCAUUGCGUAGUAGCUAACACCUCGCAACUGGAGAGCGGCGCGGCCACGCCGUAAAACACCCAACUUCUGAAUGUUGACCUCGAAUCAGGUAGGAAUACCCGCUGAACUUAAGCAUAUCAAUAAGCGGAGGA